rnacentral:lncRNA from 1 species
AUGCAGACACACUGUGCAAAUCCGAAGACAGGGGUAGUCAGUAAAAACCAACCACUGCAGAACGGAACUGAAGGGGGAGCAGUGUUCAUAAGCAAGAUGGCUCCAAAUCAGAGACGCCCACUCAACUUUACUCCUCUUUGAAACCUGUAGAUGCAACAGAGGAGAUC